rnacentral:rRNA from 1 species
ACCUACGGGGCGCAGCAGUGGGGAAUCUUCCGCAAUGGACGAAAGUCUGACGGAGCAACGCCGCGUGAGUGAAGAAGGUUUUCGGAUCGUAAAACUCUGUUUUCAGGGACGAAUGUGCGAUGUGUAAAUAAUGCAUUGUAAUGACGGUACCUGAGUAGAAAGCCACGGCUAACUACGUGCCAGCAGCCGCGGUAAUACGUAGGUGGCAAGCGUUGUCCGGAAUUAUUGGGCGUAAAGCGCGCGCAGGUGGGAUAUUAAGUCUGGUGUUAAAGUUCGGGGCUCAACCCCGUGAAGCAUUUGGAAACUGAUAUUCUUGAGUGCAGGAGAAGAAAGUGGAAUUCCUAGUGUAGCGGUGAAAUGCGUAGAUAUUAGGAGGAACACCAGUGGCGAAGGCGACUUUCUGGGCUGUGUCUGACACUGAGGCGCGAAAGCCAGGGUAGUGAACGGGAUUAGAUACCCUCGUA